UUCUUAUCAAGAGAAGCCGAGGGAAUGGCCCGAUGAAGCUUCAGCAACCUCUACGAUUAGUAGAAAGGUGCUAAUUCCUGCAAGCACAUGCUUGUCAGAUAAGGG
rnacentral:ncRNA from 2 species